GACGAACGCUGGCGGCGUGCCUAACACAUGCAAGUCGAACGGGGUGAUAUCCUUCGGGAGAUCACUUAGUGGCGAACGGGUGAGUAACGCGUGAGAAACCUGCCUUUCAGUGGGGGACAACAGUUGGAAACGACUGCUAAUACCGCAUAACGCAUUUAGGGGGCAUCCCUUGAAUGCCAAAGCUUUAUGUGCUGAAAGAUGGUCUCGCGUCUGAUUAGCUAGUUGGUGGGGUAACGGCUCACCAAGGCGACGAUCAGCAGCCGGUCUGAGAGGAUGAACGGCCACAUUGGGACUGAGAUACGGCCCAGACUCCUACGGGAGGCAGCAGUGGGGAAUAUUGGGCAAUGGGGGAAACCCUGACCCAGCAACGCCGCGUGAAGGAAGAAGGCCUGGUGUAGACUUCUUUAGUCAGGGACGAA
rnacentral:rRNA from 1 species